rnacentral:tRNA from 1 species
CGCCCAUGUGGCUCAGUGGCAGAGCACUCCCUUGGUAAGGGAGAGGUCGGCAGUUCGAUCCUGCCCAUGGGCACC